rnacentral:rRNA from 1 species
CGGCCUUGACAUACUAAGAACUUUCCAGAGAUGGAUUGGUGCCUUCGGGAACUUAGAUACAGGUGCUGCAUGGCUGUCGUCAGCUCGUGUCGUGAGAUGUUGGGUUAAGUCCCGNAACGAGCGCAACCCUUUUCCUAUUUGCCAGCGGGUCAUGCCGGGAACUUUAAGGAUACUGCCAGUGACAAACUGGAGGAAGGCGGGGACGACGUCAAGUCAUCAUGGCCCUUACGGCCAGGGCUACACACGUGCUACAAUGGUCGGUACAAAGGGUUGCUACCUCGCGAGAGGAUGCUAAUCUCAAAAAGCCGAUCGUAGUCCGGAUCGCAGUCUGCAACUCGACUGCGUGAAGUCGGAAUCGCUAGUAAUCGCGGAUCAGAAUGCCGCGGUGAAUACCGUUCCCGGGCCUUGUACACACCGCCCGUCACACCAUGGGAGUUUGUUGCACCAGAAGUAGGUAGUCUAACCGCAAGGAGGACGCUUACCACGGUGUGGCCGAUGACUGGGGUGAAGUCGUAACAAGGUAAGCGUAGAUGA